AUACGGAGGGUGCAAGCGUUGUUCGGAUUUACUGGGCGUAAAGCGCACGUAGGCGGACUGUCAAGUCGGGUGUGAAAACCAGUGGCUUAACCACUGGCCUGCACUCGAAACUGGUAGUCUUGAGUACCAGAGAGGAUGGCGGAAUUCCUGGUGUAGCGGUGAAAUGCGUAGAUAUCAGGAAGAACACCGGCGGCGAAGGCGGCCAUCUGGACGGAUACUGACGCUCAGGUGCGAAGGCUAGGGGAGCGAACAGAAUUAGAAACCCUAGUAGUCC
rnacentral:rRNA from 1 species